rnacentral:rRNA from 1 species
AAGAGAUAAGUGCUGAAAGCAUCUAAGCACGAAACUUGCCCCGAGAUGAGUUCUCCCUGACUCCUUGAGAGUCCUGAAGGAACGUUGAAGACGACGACGUUGAUAGGCCGGGUGUGUAAGCGCAGCGAUGCGUUGAGCUAACCGGUACUAAUGAGCCGUGAGGCUUAACCUU